rnacentral:rRNA from 1 species
GACGAACGCUGGCGGCGUGCCUAAUACAUGCAAGUCGAGCGAAGCGGCGGAUGGGUGAGUAAUGCGUGGGUAACCUGGCCUUAAGUCUGGGAUACCAUUUGGAAACAGAUGCCAAUACCGGAUAAUAAAGGUGGGAACUGCGAGGCAUUAGCUAGUUGGUAAGGUAACGGCUUACCAAGGCGAUGAUGCCGAGCCGGUUUGAGAGACUGAUCGGCCACAUUGGGACUGAGACACGGCCCAGACUCCUACGGGAGGCAGCAGUAGGGAAUAUUGCACAAUGGGCGAAAGUCUGAUGGAGCCAUGCCGCGUGAGUGAAGAAGGUUUUCGGAUCGUAAAGCACUGUUGUUGGUGAGGCGGUAAUCAACGAGAAAGUCACGGCUAACUACGUGCCAGCAGCCGCGGUAAUAC